AACUCGAAUCUCCAAUCUUGGAUAUCUUCUUCUUGUUGUUAUUGCAGCAAUCCAGUGAUCUCUGGGCGCAGCGGUUUAUCGAUCUCUUCCUGACCUUGUUGGUCUCGUUCGUGGUGGAUUUGAUCGGUUUUUGUCUUGCCUCUUUAGGGUUACAAAGCGGGAAUCGAUCGAUAAACCUCUGCAUCCGGAUUGUAUCCAUCCUUUUCCCCCACUACCUUUUCUUUUCCUUUUUCAUUAAAAAAAUUAUCUGAUUUGAAUUGUUCGGAGCUGAGUAAGUUAACUUGCAGACGUUUUAGACGGUAUUUAAUGGUGUUAAAUGCAUCGAGAUCGUUUAGAAAGUGGACUCAGAAAGGCAUGAUCCAUGAUCCAUGAUUCUAAGCUGAAGGCUAGUUUGCUUUGAGCAAGAGCUAUAUCUCGAUCUUCCUUAAAUUCGUUUUACUCUCGGAAUGAGUGAAAUGAUAGAACUACGCUCUAUUAUGUCGAUUGGUAUUCCCAGUUCAGUACUUCUAUGCACAGCAUGCUUCUACCUGUUUAUAGCAUAGGCAAGAUUUGAUUGAUUUCACUUGAUGGUUGAGGUUUAUAUUGUGUCUUGGGAAGAAAAUGCCAAUGGGGGUUCAGAUCGAUUGCCGAAACUGGGUUCCUAGGUGACUCUGCUCUGUUUGGAUAUUCUUUUACUCAGAGGGGAAUAGAAAGAUCUUCCUUUUGAGUACUACAUUAUCCUCCUCCAGGCUCCAGUCCUCCUUCUUUGUCCAGAAGUAAGUGUAUUCAUCAAGAAAGCUCAUCAUCCAAUGUUCUCUGUGAGUCGCCCCAUCAGUACCGGCAAAGCCGCGCCGGUUCGUCCACCAAAUCUGUACGCCGCUGCAGCGUCCAACGCCUCCGGUGAGCAGGUGCGACGAUUUGCUCUGAGUUUUUUUUUCAGCGCCUGCUGGCGGCGACUCUGGUGGGGUUGCGCGGCAUAUGGACACGACUUCGCCGUCACAACUUAUCUGCUACUAGACAUGCUGUCGGAAACUACUCAUUCACGCCAGACUUGGUAUUUGAUCGCCAUCUUCCUCGUUUGAUUUUCUAUGGACGUCAAUAUCGACAUGUUCAUCUUUUCCUUUGAUGCUACUCUUUGUUAACUGAAUUACAACCUUGUGCAUAUCAACCAACACUGGAAUUCGACUGCAACGGAUUGAUGUGUCUUCAUGGUAUGCGAGGCACGAUCUCUGUUGGAAACGUCGACGGCCGCUGCUGCGAUCAGUUCGUCCUGAUCAGUACCAUCGCGUGUGAGCCCACUAACCGCUGGCUGCGAGUCCGCCGGUCGCUGCCCGCAAGCUAUAGACCAGGCUUGCGAUCUUAUGACUACCGAAUGGACUGGGUUUUGAGUGGGCCGUGAGCUGAGCAGAUUAGUCCGGUUUGGGUGGGUCGGGCGUGUCCAGCCUGAGCCUGCGCCACUACCACAUGACAGUUGACACCCUACUGCACCUGUCGAUCGUUUCAAGAGGCUAUGGAUCUCAGGCGGCAUCCUGGUCUCCGGCGGCGGAGCAGACGUCGGAGGAGCUGAGAAGAGCACCAUCUCGCAGCGCCUUCGAAUGGUGUCGCUGGAUUUCAACUAAAACUUGUGUCUGACAGAUGCCCCAGUGAAUCCACAUCUUUUGGGACUCACUGUUGUGUAUGAGAAUUGUAAAAACAUCACAGGCUGGCAGUAGAAUGAGAUCUAGUUGGUCAACCUGGAAAGCAGAGGACUGCAAGUAAUGUGGAUUUGUCAUGGUAUCUCCACCACCCUUUAGCCUCACGUCACCGUCAAGCCACCCCCACCAUUGGCUCAAAAGCUUUGCCCUGCUAUAAAUGAGCCACACUGGCCUCUUACAGACCUUGAGCAGCAAAUCUUAUUCAACACAGAGUCAAGGAGUACCGAGAAGAGAGUGAGUCAAAUGGGAGGAAGCCAAUCCACUUCCAGUGUUUCUUCUUGGUUCUGCUUCAGGGGCACAGAUGAAGAAGAAGAGAGGGAGCCAAAGUACACUCCGAGGAAGGUAAGGCCCAGCGACGACGAUUGUUGCUACUGGGUUGGUGCGCCAGAUGUGGACACGAAAGCCUCUGCUUUCAUUGCCAAGUUUCAUGAAGCUCGCUUCCUGGACCUUGAGACUCAAACCUCUGAGAUUUGAGCUUAAAUCUAAAGCAAGAAGAUUAUGUUUGCUCUGUACAGACUAGCUGGUAGCUGUAGAUACUUGUUUGAUCUAACUUAGUAUGAUAACUAUGCUAUCUUUUCUUUUAAA